CUUAUGCCUACAGAGGAUGGGCAGAAGCAACGCGCCCUGGUGAAAUACCGUGAGCCCCUAGGAAGCAUCACAGCUCAGCGCUUAGAGGGAUCUGGGAUAUCCUCCUGGCUGGGAGAUGGGGUCUACUUGAGCCCCUCUCCACCACGAGGCAAAGGCAGGAGAUACGCUCAGGACUCCAAGAUGCACGCAGAAAGGAAAGCCCUCUCUUGACACUUGGCCCUUGGAGCGUGAGGGGUCAGCAUGAACGUGUUUUGAAAAGAGGAGGACAUAGAAGUAAUUGAAGCUUCGCUUCUUGGAGCAGGCACAGGGAGCCCAGGUGAGGCUACAUGAAGGAUGUGACAUUUGAGCUGGGACUGUGGGGAGAGGUUGG
rnacentral:lncRNA from 1 species